rnacentral:rRNA from 1 species
UACGAAGGGGGCUAGCGUUGCUCGGAAUCACUGGGCGUAAAGCGCACGUAGGCGGAUUGCUAAGUCAGGGGUGAAAUCCUGGAGCUCAACUCCAGAACUGCCUUUGAUACUGACGAUCUCGAGUCCGGGAGAGGUGAGUGGAACUGCGAGUGUAGAGGUGAAAUUCGUAGAUAUUCGCAAGAACACCAGUGGCGAAGGCGGCUCACUGGCCCGGUACUGACGCUGAGGUGCGAAAGCGUGGGGAGCAAACGGG